UACAGAGAGUGCAAGCGUUAAUCGGAAUUACUGGGCGUAAAGCGCACGUAGGUGGAUAUUUAAGUCGAAUGUGAAAGCCCCGGGCUUAACCUGGGAACUGCAUCCGAUACUGGGUAUCUAGAGUAUGGUAGAGGGAAGUGGAAUUUCCGGUGUAGCGGUGAAAUGCGUAGAUAUCGGAAAGAACAUCAGUGGCGAAGGCGGCUUCCUGGACUAAUACUGAUACUAAGGUGCGAAAGCGUGGGGAGCAAACAGG
rnacentral:rRNA from 1 species